rnacentral:rRNA from 1 species
UACGUAGGGGGCUAGCGUUGUCCGGAAUCAUUGGGCGUAAAGCGCGCGUAGGCGGCCCGGUAAGUCCGCUCUGAAAGUCCAGGGCUCAACCCUGGAAUGCGGGUGGAUACUGCCGGGCUAGAGUCCGGAAGAGGCGAGUGGAAUCCACGUGUAGCGGUGAAAUGCGUAGAGAUGUGGAGGAACACCAAUGGCGAAGGCAGCCUUCUGGGCCAACACUGACGCUCAUGCACGAAAGCGUGGGGAGCAAACAG